rnacentral:lncRNA from 1 species
GAAGCUUAACUAGAUGAGGAAGCAGGCUCAGCGGGAAGUAAUCGUGCUGUUCUAUCAUGCUACCGACUUGGUGUCAAGACACUGCUCAGCAGUCAACCAUGGAGUUGGACAACUUAGGCUCCAAAGUUGUGACUCUCUCCGGAGGGGCUGGUGCUGGGAGGGUUUCUCUUCAACUUGCAGCUGCUUUCCCAGUCCCGUCUCCAAUCCUGGCGUCAUCAGCGGUGAGGCUGCCCUGUUUCCACCGCAGUCUCCCACAGUCACACCCGUGGGAGCUGAGUACCACCCUUGGACCAAAAGCUGCAAACCCACAAUUCCUAGCCAUUCCAGCUACAGGUUUUCAAAACCCUUACAGACGCAUGUUUUAAUGUACUUUUUAAUGGCUUGCAAUAUCUUUCUAUAGAGUUGUAGCCCAAUAUUUGACAGUUGCCAUCGGUAACUAUUUUACUCUGUCCUUAACUCUAUUCUUUUUCGAGCUACCGUUUAUCAUGGCUAAUACAUGCCGAAAUAUGCACUAAAAAGUUACAUGAGAUAAGCUUACCUAGUAUAACAAUCCUAUUAGAUUUACGUUAAAACCAAGAUCAAACAGGUCAACUAACUCAUCCAAGGUCACUUAACUACUAAGUCUAGGAUUAGGAAUUAAACCCAGAUCUCUAAGACUCUAGCAUUAUUUGGGGAUCCAUUGUUUAUAAUUAAAUAAUGAUGAUUGUUUAAUGCCCUCUUACUGUGUAUCUGGUACGAUAUCAAGAUUCACUAAUUAAUACAUUCAUUCCUCACCAUAAGCCUAUGAAACUGGUAUUACUGCCAGCCCAUUUUACAGAUGAGAAAAUUCAGCCACGGUUUAGGUUGUCUGAAGUGACACUGGUAUCACAUCAACAGUAAUAUCAACAGUUCUGAUUUAAAUGUAGGUCAACUUGCUCUAGACUCAGGAACAAAUUCAACUUUCUAGAAUUGAAACAAGAUAAAGUGUACAUACCUAUAAAGAUAAUUGGCUAUAACUUCCUAAACUGUGAACUGUCAUAAAAAUUACAUCUGCCCUGCCUCAUUCAGCAGCCGGAAUUAAAACAGAGAGUCUUAUAAAAUAAUAGAAUGUCUAGACUUAUUCAUAUACUGACAUUAAUGUUAAUUAAUAGGAUUUUCAAAACAAUAGUUCUUUCAUUCAAAUAAAUAGACCUAAAAAC